rnacentral:misc_RNA from 1 species
GAUGAAGAACGUAGCGAAAUGCGAUAAGUAAUGUGAAUUGCAGAAUUCAGUGAAUCAUCGAAUCUUUGAACGCACAUUGCGCCCCUCGGUAUUCCGAGGGGCAUGCCUGUUCGAGCGUCAUUAUAACCCUUCAAGCUCAGCUUGGUGUUGGGGCCUGCUGUAACUGGUAGCCCUUAAAAUCUGUGGCAGUGCUAUUAGGCUCUAAGCGUAGUAAUUCUUCUCGCUAUAGUGUGUAGUGAGCGCUUGCCAGAACCCCAAACUUUUAUAUGAUUGACCUCGGAUCAGGUAGGGAUACCCGCUGAACUUAAGCAUAUCAAUAAGCGGAGGA